UCAAGAUGUUCAUUGAACUCAUAUAUAUCCUUUUAGCCCUUGCAGGGCUGUACUUGCUUCUAUCAAAAAGGAAACUAAAAGGAAAAGUUAUUGAUGGACCAAAAGGAUUACCAGUUCUCGGCUGCAUACUUGAAUUCAACAACGAAACUAUUCAUUUAAAAUUUAUGGAAUAUGCAGAGAAGUUUGGAGAAAUUUUCCGAUUGAAAAUGCUGUCGGAUAAUGUAAUCGUUCUGAAUACUGAGGAAAAUAUUCACAAAGCACUAGGUGGAGAGAAAUAUAAAAACUACUUCGGUGAUCGAGCAGAAAUGUUUUGGGGCGAGCACUUCCGCUUUCACAAUCAAUCUCUUGCCUUUGUUGCGAGUGGUUCCGGCUUGUUUCAUAGAACUGCAAGAAAAAGCUACACUCAAGCUCUUCAUACGUAUGGUAGCGGAAUUCAGGACCUCGAGAACAAUGUUAUGAUUGAAAUGGCAAACCUGGUUGAAAGGAUUGAGAAGUACUCGGGAGGAGAGUUUGAGUGUGUAUCGAUGCUGCAGAGGUCGUUGUCCAAUGUGUUGUCACUAGUUUUACGCGGAGAGACAAUUCCCGACAAUGACCCGGAUUCCAACAUGUUUUGGGAACACGUUCACGCAAAUGAUUUCUUCCUGAAUUCAUAUGUAAAUUUUGUGAUGACAGCGUUUCCUUUCCUUCGCUUUUUACCCGGAAAAUACGGCGACGAAUUCCGAAAUGGAAAGAAGGCCAAUGCAAAAAUAGCAAAGAGAUAUUUCUAUGAUAUGAAGGAAACGUAUGUUCCUGGCCACAUGAGAGGUCUUGUUGAUCACUUCUUGGAAGAACAGGAGAAACAAAUGCACUCAGAUACAGGGUUAUUCUUCACAGAUGACAGAAUUAUUGCUCAGCUAGUAGAAACCAUAGAUGCAGGUAUGACAACAUCAUGGUCGGCCCUCUCCAAUACAAUGCUGGUGCUAUUGAACUACCCGCAGUACCAGACAAAGAUUCAAGCGGAGCUGGACAACAUUGUUGGUCGCGGCCGGUUACCAACUUACGGAGACAGGGAAAAAUGUAAAUUCUUCCAAGCGUUUGAAAUGGAGGUCCAUCGUUAUUUAACAGUGCUUCCACUCAUGCUGCCACAUCUAUGUAAAGAACACACUUGGAUUUGAGGGAUACGACAUUCAAGCCAACAGUACUAUUUUUGCCAAUAUCUGGUUUUUACACCACAACAAGGAAAUCUGGGGAGAUCCUUGGACUUUCAGACCAGAGAGAUUUUUGGACGAACAUGGAGACUUGGUUGCAAUUGAGCACAAACUACGUAGAAACCUGAUACCAUUUGGGUACGGCCUACGUCAAUGUCCCGGAGAGAUGUUUGCAAAAACUCGAUACUUCCUCUAUAUUUCAAGCUUAUUGCAACGUUGGAAUUUUGAGUUCCCACCCGGCAAGGAGAGACCAUGUGAUCCAAGGAUUACAGAAAACUUUGACAUCAAAAUUAUGAUGAGGGCUCAGCCAUUUUUCUGCUGUGUCAAAGAAAGAUUAUAAAAGAAGAUUUAGAAGAAAAAGCAAACUGCAUCAGUACACAUAUUUUAUGUCGUGUGUGUCUUUUUAAUGUCUUAAGACGUCUGACGUCACUUUCGUUCAUGUGCGUCUUGUUUUCCGCGCUGUUCGACAGUGAUUUUAAAAGACAAGAUGUAAAAGAAAAACCAAACUUCAUCAGUACACAUAUGAACAUAAAUAAGAUAGUAACCACAAGAAUAUCUCCAUAUGAAAAUGUGGAAGCAGCGUGAAUGUUGGUGUAUGUUAGAUUUUAAGUUUAACCUUUAGUCUACUGGCGGCAAGUGAUUCUGCCUUUCCGACCGUGGUCAUGGUCUGCACUGUUUGCUAUUCAGUUAGUAAUUUUUUCAGUGAACACCCCUUUAGAAAAUAAAUGAUACUGCUCAAAUUGAAUGAUAGACCAAUCCAUUUUAAAAAUUUAGCUUUAUCAGUGAAAUUUGGUCCAUACCACUCGAUGUGAAUGAUAUAGCAUGCCGAACUACUUGUAUAGUGUGUAUUAAUUUCUAAUUAUUCACGUAUAAUGGGACGCGCUUUGUUAUUUAUAGUAUAUAUCUCGAUUCAAAUGACGUUAGUCGACGAUAAUUUUACAACAUUUUUCUGCAAAUGAUAAUAUGAAAUGGAAUUUUAUGUCGUUUGUGUCUUUUAAAUGUCACAACACGUCUGACGUCAUUUGCGUUCACGCGUGUAUUGUUUUCCGCGCUGACAUUAAGAUUUGUUGCAUAUUUCAAAGUAAUUCAGCAUAAACUAAGAAGAAAAGGACGUUGUGCUCUAAACCUUACAUUACCUACACAGUGUAACAAAAAAGAAAUUGGUGAUUAGUGAAAAAAAUACAAGAAUAUGUAUCAUCUAGAUUCUAAAUAUUGUUGAAAUAACACAUGUUUUUAGAAAGAUGCAUUUUACAAUGUUUAGGGAUUAUGGGCAUGUACGACUGUCCCAGAAUGUACGACUA
rnacentral:misc_RNA from 1 species